rnacentral:rRNA from 1 species
CAGCAGCAGCCGCGGGAAUACGUAGGGUGCGAGCGUUAAUCGGAAUUACUGGGCGUAGAGCGUGCGCAGGCGGUUCUAUAAGACAGAUGUGAAAUCCCCGGGCUCAACCUGGGAACUGCAUUUGUGACUGUAGAGCUGGAGUACGGCAGAGGGGGAUGGAAUUCCGCGUGUAGCAGUGAAAUGCGUAGAUAUGCGGAGGAACACCGAUGGCGAAGGCGGCCAUCUGGGACAACACUGACGCUGAGGCACGAAAGCGUGGGGAGCAAACAGGAUUAGAUACCCGCGUAGUCCCUGUCUCUUAUAC